rnacentral:rRNA from 1 species
GACGAACGCUGGCGGCGUGCUUAACACAUGCAAGUCGAACGGAAAGGCCCUGCUUUUGUGGUGUGCUCGAGUGGCGAACGGGUGAGUAACACGUGAGUAACCUGCUCUUGACUUUGGGAUAACUUCAGGAAACUGAGGCUAAUACCGUAUAGGAGCUCCUGCUGCAUGGUGGGGGUUGGAAAGUUUCGGCGGUUGGGGAUGGACUCGCGGCUUAUCAGCUUGUUGGUGGGGUAGUGGCUUACCAAGGCGUUGACGGGUAGCCGGCCUGAGAGGGUGACCGGCCACAUUGGGACUGAGAUACGGCCCAGACUCCUACGGGAGGCAGCAGUGGGGAAUAUUGCACAAUGGGCGGAAGCCUGAUGCAGCAACGCCGCGUGCGGGAUGACGGCCUUCGGGUUGUAAACCGCUUUCGCCUGUGACGAAGCGUGAGUGACGGUAAUGGGUAAAGAAGCACCGGCUAACUACGUG